rnacentral:rRNA from 1 species
UGGGGAAUUUUCCGCAAUGGGCGAAAGCCUGACGGAGCAAUGCCGCGUGGAGGUGGAAGGCCUAUGGGUCGUCAACUUCUUUUCUCGGAGAAGAAACAAUGACGGUAUCUGAGGAAUAAGCAUCGGCUAACUCUGUGCCAG